rnacentral:rRNA from 1 species
UACGUAGGGGUGCGAGCGUUAAUCGGAAUUACUGGGCGUAAAGUGUGCGCAGGCGGCUUCGCAAGUCGAGUGUGAAAUCCCCGAGCUUAACUUGGGAAUUGCGCUCGAAACUACGGAGCUGGAGUGUGGCAGAGGAAGGUGGAAUUCCACGUGUAGCGGUGAAAUGCGUAGAGAUGUGGAGGAACACCGAUGGCGAAGGCAGCCUUCUGGGCCAACACUGACGCUCAUGCACGAAAGCGUGGGGAGCAAACAGG